rnacentral:lncRNA from 1 species
CAGCGUCUUUGGCCCUCUGGACUCCAUCGCUGUGGUCUACGUAGGGUCCGUUCAGGGUUAAGCUCAAGCUUCUGUGUCUGUUGUGGAAACCUCUUCGCUAGUACGUCUCACAGAAACGUUAUUACUCAGAAAAAAUACGUGGAAAAUCUAGCCAUAUCCCACUGUCAAAGUGAGGACACUAAGGAUAAGGCCUUUAUACCCAUCCAUUUCGGGAGAAAGAGAUGAGGAAGGCAAUGAGGAUUACUGUUACAUCUCCUGACAGAUGACAUGUGUGUGGAUCACUUAUCCAGUCGUGAGACGUACUUGCUCCACUUAUACGCUUACCAAAAUUACAAGAAAAGCUGCUAUGAACGUUCAGGAAGAAUUGGCAUCUUUGCUAUGUUGAGUCUCCUGUUAUAUGAACAAGGAAAGACAUAUUGCACUUCCCCUGUUUCAGUGUUUUCCAGAGACUUUCUCAGAAGUAAUUUAGGUGGAAAAAGAAGAAGGACAGAGACUUUUCUAGAAGCCACAAAGCUGAGCCUUUGACGUCUCUCUGGCACAGUUUGUUUGUGAAUAGGCUGCUGAGUGUCCUUGAGAGUGAAGAUUGGAUUCCUCAACCUCAGUUAAACAGGAAUUUCAUCACCCAAAACUACCAAGAGACACAAGAACAAGAAGAAGGUCAGAAAUCUGAGGCACAGCCAGCUUAAGAAAUCUGCCCAAAGCCACACAGAGAGCAGCAGAGUUGGGAAAUCAGCCCAGGCAGCCAGACCCCAUAAAUACUACUCCUCAAUAUGAAAAUGCACUGCCAGCAGCACGGUGGAAAAUCUAAGAAAAUGUGUGUAUUAAGAUUGAUGAAACUCAAAAGUGAAGUUUGAAAUGGUUAUAAAAUUAGCACUAAUUACUGAACUGAUUCUUGGUGGAGUUAUAGUUAGCUUGGAUCCAGCAAACUGAGACUCUCUAUCGAGAAGAAAAGAAUGGGUGCAAAGGAGGUGAGAAGAAGAAAUGCAUAUCAUGGUGAAUUAUUAAUAGGAUGGUGGCUUGUGAAGGAGCAGUCUAAGCCGGGAGGAAGGACCUUCAUCCUAUAGUGAUGACUACUUGAUGGAGCAUCUUCACAUUCAAAUCCCAUUCAUAUUUGCAGAUAGCAGGGAGUUAUAGAGAAGGUAAUAAGACUAGAGGCAAGGGAUGCAAGAGAUUGAAAUAGCCUUAUUUUUUCUGAACUUCAAUAAAAGAGC